rnacentral:rRNA from 1 species
GAUGAGCAUGCGUCCCAUUAGCUUGUUGGUAAGGUAACGGCUUACCAAGGCAACGAUGGGUAGGGGUUCUGAGAGGGAGAUCCCCCACACUGGUACUGAGACACGGACCAGACUCCUACGGGAGGCAGCAGUGAGGAAUAUUGGUCAAUGGGCGCAAGCCUGAACCAGCCAUGCCGCGUGCAGGAUGAAGCAUCUAGGGUGUGUAAACUGCUUUUGUACGAGAAGAAACACUCCUUCGUGAAGGAGCUUGACGGUAUCGUAAGAAUAAGGACCGGCUAACUCCGUGCCAGCAGCCGCGGUAAUACGGAGGGUCCAAGCGUUAUCCGGAAUCAUUGGGUUUAAAGGGUCCGUAGGCGGUUUUGUAAGUCAGUGGUGAAAGCCCAUCGCUCAACGGUGGAACGGCCAUUGAUACUGCAAGACUUGAAUUAUUAGGAAGUAACUAGAAUAUGUAGUGUAGCGGUGAAAUGCUUAGAUAUUACAUGGAAUACCAAUUGCGAAGGCAGGUUACUACUAAUGGAUUGACG